GCCUUUAUAUAGCAUCGCCUUUAUAUAGCUUCGCUGUUCCCGUUAUUUGCGUUGGUAUUUUCAAUCCAAUAAUGGGAAAGGUGAAGCUAAUGGGCUUCUGCAAGUCGGCCACAAGC
rnacentral:precursor_RNA from 12 species